GCCGGGAUGGCGGAAUUGGUAGACGCAUGGGACUUAAAAUCCUGUGGACGAAAGUCCGUGCGGGUUCGAUCCCCGCUCUCGGCACCA
rnacentral:tRNA from 1 species